rnacentral:rRNA from 1 species
UACGUAGGGUGCAAGCGUUAUCCGGAUUUAUUGGGCGUAAAGCGAGCGCAGGUGGUUUAUUAAGUCCGGUGUAAAAGGCAGUGGCUCAACCAUUGUAUGCAUUGGAAACUGGUAGACUUGAGUGCAGGAGAGGAGAGUGGAAUUCCAUGUGUAGCGGUGAAAUGCGUAGAUAUAUGGAGGAACACCGGUGGCGAAAGCGGCUCUCUGGCCUGUAACUGACACUGAGGCUCGAAAGCGUGGGGAGCAGACAGG